CUACACAAUAAACUUUUUCAGUGCGAUGAAAGCUAUUUUGCUGUCUAAAUGAGGCGGCAGUCGCCAUAUUGUUUUGGGCUGCCAAAAUCAAAGCCAAAGCGACUAGCAAGCUACGUGAAGCGGAGCGUGUACGCAUGUAUGCGGCAAGCAGACAUGGCAAGCGUUAGCACCAAAGCCAGUACGCCCGGAAAUUCCUCGCUUCGCGGCGCUUGUUGCUACCGUGGCUACAGGAGGUCGUCUGGACACCACUGCGUCGUACUUGGAUGCUCAAACAACCAGCGAAAGAGGAGCCGGUUGCUGAACGUUUUCUGCCCAGAACACAACACUUGUCAGAAAUGGUGCGGGUGCGGCCUUUUCAGCUUCCACCGGUUUCCGCGCGCGGACAAAAACCCCGAACUCCGUCGUCAGUGGAUAGCUGCGGUCAACAGGAAAGACUUCGAGCCGAGCAAGUAUGUCCGGGUGUGCUCCGAGCACUUUGUGGACGGCAAGCCUUCCGAAGAAAACCCUGUGCCGGUGCUUCGCCUAGGAUACACUAAAAAGGUGGUAAAAAGAAGGCUUCGGCAAUGUGUUGCUGAACGCAACCAACCCAGCAGCGACCAUGAGCAACAAACCGAAAGUGGAAGUGUGGAGGACAAUGUCUGCGUACAUGUUAUCACAAAUUCAUCCACGCUGCUCGACCCUGGUGCAGAACAAGCAGAUCCUGCUGUUAACCAACUGCAGCAGCAACCACGUUCGGCUCACAGGGGAAACACGGACCUCAAGGUGCAGUCCAGACAAACUUUCCCAGCACCCAGCAACAAAGGCCAAGUCCUGAACAGUGCCUUGGAAAUGUACCACGAGAAUGAUGGAAUCACGUCGGGCUCCCAAAGGUCACCGCCGACUGAUUCAGCAAGAGGUGAAUUCAGGUACAAGCCACAGACCAGGACCAUGCCGCGGAAUCAGUCCUGCGCCGUGAUUGGAUGCGGCAACACGAAUUCGAAACGCGAGCGUUUGAUGGCGGAACUCUGUCCCGAUCACAAUGUGCCCAGGUCCAAGUGCAGGAUGCGGCGUCUUCACCUUCCACCGCCCUCCGUCCGUGUGGAAGCACCAUGAGAACUGGAAGGUGGCAUUUUCCCUACCCGACGAUCACUUAACAUAUAGCACGUGGGUGUGCUCUCUGCACUUAGGUAACGGAAAGACAGCCGCUUCAAAUCCAGCACUGAAGCUGCAUAUUGGUC